CCCAAACCAGCUCUUUUUCCCAGUUACUCCAUAUCUGUCAGUGCUUGCACCUGUCCCCUAGGUGGCUCCUGCAGUGACUGACUCUAAGGAAUCAGCAACAGCACCUUUGUCUCUACUUAGGUGAAAGGACUGCGCUAGCCAUGAAUAGCCGGCACAAGUCCCUGACUUGUUCAGUGUAGGAAGAGAAACCCUCAAGGAACAGGAGCUGGCUGCUUUGCAGGUUCUAUAAAUCCUCAGGCACUGUUGGAGUCUUUCUGAAGGACGUAAUAGCCCCACUAUGAAUGCUAAGAUCUCAAUUCACCCUUUUCUUGGAAAGCCUGAUGCAGCCCUCUUGUCCAAAGGUAUUGAAACCACCUCUUUUUGAGCGUAUUUCACCUCAGCUUAUUCCACAGCAUCAUUUCUUCUGAGACUCUUUUUCUUAGCAAAUUUCUUUGGGCAGUGACAUGAAUGGCUUCUGGGAAGUCUCCUCAUGUGAGGCACCACUUGUCCCUGUAGCUUGUGUGUUCUUGAAUUUUGAACAAUUAGUUGAUAAUGACCUACCUCCAACUGGGAUGAUUUUCACUUGCCAUACAAGUUUUAGCAAUCUCUACAGGAAUAAGUGAAGGGGGAAUUAUCAAAGCUCAUUCCAUUCUGAAGUUCACCAGGGCUUGUGUAAGAUUCUCUGUCCUAUUGGCAGGACUGAGAAUUCUGCGUCUCCAGCUGAACAAACUUCUUUUUCUAUGUUCUUGGGGGAUGGUGGAAAUUCUCUCUUACCAAUGGGAAAUCUUCCACGGAGAACACUUUAAUGUUCUGAGUGAUUGCUGAAUACAAACAGGAAUAACUUUUUGGCUUUAGGAAAGAAAGGUCUUUAAUUUCCUCUCUCCACCUUCCCUCAGGUCUCUGGAGCCAUGUUCUUCAUGUCGUAGUUCUGAUGCUCUUCCCAUUCAUUCCUGUCUCCUAGAUGCUCAGAUUCGCCAAGAUGCAGUUACUUCCCUCUUCUGCAAAUAUUCCUUCAAUUACUUUGUUUUUGUUUUUUAAAUAUUUAUUAUACCAAUAUUAUAACAAUAAAAAUAUUUUAUAAGUGAAAAGAUAUAAA